UUUCAAGGUAAUUGUGAAUCUUUAAUCAUCAUAUUCAAGGUUAAUUGCUGUUGAUUGUCCGAUAGUAAAUUAUAGUUACUUGAUUUACUGUCAAAUUAACUUUUACUGGAAACUAUUAAAUUAUAAUAAGUUAUAUAUGAAAAUGUAUUUGUAAUUAACUUAAAUUGUAACAAUUUGUUGUCAAGUGAUUAUAAACAAAUCAUCGGUAAUUAGAAAUGUUUUACAAUCAUUUUUAAUUGUUGUUGUUAAAUAAAUCAAAGUUUGAUGAAUACAUUGACAAAAUGAAUAACAACAAUUAAUCAAUUGGAUAUUUGUGUUAAGUAAUCAAGAAAUUUGUUUCCGUUAACUGUUCACAAUCAAAUUUGAUUUAGUUUAAUGUUGACUUUGUAACAAUAAACAAUUUGUAAAAAAAAUGUUCAAUCAUAUUUUUGGCAUUUAAAUGAUUAACUAAAAUUAACUUUCAUUAUGAUUUAGUCAAUCAUUUGAUUCAAUUGUUAAUAAUAAUAAUAACUUGGCAAUUGUUUAAAUGUUGAUAUCAUGGUAAUAAGAUUAUCAUUGUGAUUAUGAUAAUUAACUGAUUAUUAUGAUGAGCUAAUGAAAGUCAUGAUUAUCAUUAGCAUUUGAUGAAUCAGUUUCCAUGAAGGAUUAAUUUGAAUUCGUGGGAUUGAAACUGAACUUUGGUUCAUUUUCUUGGCAACGAUAAUCAUUAUCAACCCUGAACAUCAAUUAAUCUAUGGCAAUGAAUGUAAACAAUUAACUCUGUCUGUCUAACAAUCUAUUCUAAUUGUUGUUAGUUAAAUGUUACCUGUGUAAAUAGUAACAAUUUAAUUGUGAGAAAAUGAAAGUUAAUUGUUAGAUGAAUUUCCAAUAGAUGGAAGCACAACUAGGAAAAUUCAACGAAAUGGAUGUUGAUUAAAAUCAGAACGGAAUUAACAUCGAGUGGGUUCAAUUAAAGCAACCAAAAUCAACUUAAAAACAGUCCAAAUAAGAGCCUUGAGUUUGAUGAAUCGACGAUGAUGUUGGUACAAUUUCACUCGCAAAUACGUUGACGCCGAUUCGGACAUCGAUCGAUGGGGACACACGUUCGGGUGGCGAAAGACAAGCAAGAACACUGGUCCCUGUUGCUGAGAGUCUUUCGCUCAAAACUGGACCAGAAAAGUAGUAAUAAACUGCUGGCUUUGGCUCAUGAAAUGUUGUUCCAACUUUUCCUCAUUUUUAUAUAGAAUUAACUAUGAUUCACACAUUUUAUCGCAUGAAUAAAUUUCAAUUGAAAAUUAAUUCGACAAAUUUUUAAUUAAUGAUACAAAUCAUAUAAAUAAGAUCGACAAAAUCGAAGAAUCAUCAUUAUCAGUUCGUCUAUCAAACAUUGAACAUCAAAUAGAUUGAACAAAUUGUUCAAUUCGAAUAUUUUCCAAGUUUUCUUUUGAAUUCGUUUUUCAAAAACCAUCUCUCUAAAUUUAUCAAAGUGUAUCAAUUUGUGAAGCGAAAUUCAUCAGCGAUAUUCCCGAUACCGAACACUUACAAUACAUCGAUUAUAAAUUUAUGAUCUCCAUGAUACACCAUGAUGCACCAAAUGGAUACAGCCAUUCAUCAAUGAAAUAUCAAGGGAAUGAUUCUACAGCGUGUGGUUAUUUUUGUGUCUUAUUCCUAAUCUUGGUUAAUAGAAUUAGAAAAAAUUUUUCAUUGUUUAAAAUUUGUAAACAUUCAAUGAAUGAAAAAAUAUUGAAAAAUAUUUUGACUAAAAUUCUUGAUGAACAUGAUUAUUAAAAUGUAUAACCAAUUUUCAAUGAAUAAAGACAACUGCUGAGCUUUGGCUCAUUUCAUGAGCCAAAGCCAGCAGUUUAUUACUACUCAGGAAGUUGAGUCGUUGAGAUGUCCGAUUGACCCUUUCGACACUCUGUCCUCUCACGAACGCAAAGUGCUUCGAGCGACUGUUCCCAUCAUCAGAAUCUCGCAGUUGCAAACAUUUCAGCCAAAGAUUAUACAUGUAUUCUUAAAGUGGAUGUUUAGAAAUAUAAAUUCAUCUUGAUUCGUUUCUUAAUUGUAAUUAAAAUACGUUGAGUUAAAUCCGAAUCCUGGUGUUCAGAAAUUGAAUUUUUUUCUCCUUCAAAAAUUUUCUCGUCAAUUUUGAUUAGUUUUUUAAUUCAUUUAUCUCAGUUAAUUUCUCAUAUCAAGUAAAUUUAAUUGUUAAAUUGAAUUUCGUUUCUUUAUCCAAACAUUUAGAUGUUCAUAAUAAAUAGUUGAAAGAUUUGCCUAAGGGUAUUGGUGAUAGGCAACAAUUGACAGUUUUAUAAUGGUUUCCACUUUCUCUCAACAAUUAAAAGUUUCACAAUUUUUAUCUUAGAUAUUAAAUUAGAUUCUCGGAUAAUAAGAUUAAUUAUUUGACAGUGAUCAUUAUACUCAUCAGGUAGAAGGGGCAAAGGUGAU